GAAUUCAGUUUCUGGGCCAGCUGAUACUGGCUGGAUAUUCACGAUGUGCCGAGGACUGUGCUCAGUGCUUUAUGUGUCCCUUCUAAGAAUGUAUGUGCAUGUCACACGAGCCUAGGAGGGCAGAAAGGAUGCCCCUUUAAUAGAUCAGAGUGGGCCAACUGGAUAUUUACAUGGAAAAAAUGGAUCUGGAGUUGUAUCACACAUACUACGCACAAAUCGGUUCCAGAUGUGCUAUAGUUCUACAAGUAAAAGGACACAAGGAGAAGAAGGCCAUUGAUAAACCAGGGGAGCUCUCACCAGACACCAGAUCUGUGGAUGCCUUCAUCUUGGACUUCCA